AGCAGCCGCGGUAAUUCCAGCUCCAAUAGCGUAUAUUAAAGUUGUUGCAGUUAAAAAGCUCGUAGUUGAAUUUCGGGGUUAGUAGGCUGGUCAUGCCUCUGGUAUGUACUGGUCUCACUGAUUCCUCCUUCCUUAUGAACCGUAAUGCCAUUAAUUUGGUGUUGCGGGAAAUUUGGACUGUUACUUUGAAAAAUUAGAGUGUUUAAAGCAAGCUAACGCUUGAAUACAUUAGCAUGGAAUAAUGAAAUAGGACGUUCGAUCUUAUUUUGUUGGUUUCUAGGAUUGACGUAAUGAUUAAUAGGGAUAGUUGGGGGCAUUAGUAUUCAAUUGUCAGAGGUGAAAUUCUUGGAUUUAUUGAAGACUAACUACUGCGAAAGCAUUUGCCAAGGAUGUUUUCAUUAAUCAAGAACGAAAGUUAGGGGAUCGAAGACGAUCAGAUACCGUCGUAGUCUUAACCAUAAACUAUG
rnacentral:rRNA from 1 species